GUGCCAGCCGCCGCGGUAAUACCGGCAGCUCGAGUGAUGGCCGAUAUUAUUGGGCCUAAAGCGUCCGUAGCUGGCCAGACAAGUCUGUUGGGGAAUCCACGUGCUCAACGCGUGGGCGUCCAGCGGAAACUGUCUGGCUUGGGGCCGGAGGACUCGAGGGGUACGUCCGGGGUAGGAGUGAAAUCCUGUAAUCCUGGACGGACCGCCGGUGGCGAAAGCGCCUCGAGAGGACGGACCCGACAGUGAGGGACGAAAGCCAGGGUCUCGAACCGGAUUAGAAACCCUAGUAGUCC
rnacentral:rRNA from 1 species